AGGGUUAGGGUUAGGGGGUUAGGGAUGUUGAUCCCAUGCAGUGAUUUCCACUACAGAGUCAUAUCUUUAUUUUUCACAUUUUAGCAUUUAAUUUGGUGCCUUUACUAUUUUUAAUCAUCCAAAACCAUCAAAUUCUGUUUUUAGUAAGAUUUUGUGCAGCCCCUCAGUUUUUAUGGAUUAUUUUGAUUUCAUUGUAAAUUAUUUAAUUAAUAAUAGUGUAAAAAAAGGAAAACCUCCUUCAUUCAGUAAUACAGACCUUCACUUACAGAGCACUGAUGGACAGGUGCAGCUGUUACAAACAAGCUGCCGCACAGCUGUGAACACCGACACCAGCAGAGAGGUUAGAGGAGCCGACAGACAGACGGACAGACAGAAACAGACAGACACACAGACGGACAGACACACAGACGGACAGACACACAGGUUUACAGAGGGUCUAAACUCUGUGCUGUUUCAGUCUGAAAUUGUGUCCUGGAAAAGUAAAAUUGUCGAUGUAUUUACUCUAAAUUUCAGUCCUGGUUGCUCACUGAGAGAGAGGGCUGUUUCUGGUUUUCUGGUUUCCAAUCCUUCCAGCUGCAGCCGACCAUUUCAGUGACCUUUGACCUUUGAGCAGCCUCGCUCUCCCGCUCUGGUUGUUGUUCUCCCAUCAGGGUUUCUUUCAGAAGCUCUGCUGCCUGUGAGGGAAAAUAAACGAGAGGCAGAUUUAAAAAAACAAACAAAAAACAUCUGAAUUUGUGUAAAAACUCCAUAAUUUUUUCAAUGACUUUGCGAAUAUUCUCCAUUAGUCCCUCUGGCCAAAGAUGUGCAAACACACACAUCAAUAUGCAGACCUGUGGAUGUACGUGUUCAUGUGUUAAAAAAAGAUUUUCUCUGAACAUAUUUUACGAUUAUUUUUCAGUAAAUGCUUCAAAUGUUGGCUUGAGGUCACAGAAAAUGUUUGAUUUUACAAACAGAAUUUAUUUUAAACUCGUCGACCUCUUUUUUAAAACUUUAAUGGCGGUCAUGAGAGUUUAAUAGGAAAGUUAUCAUCCAAUCAGGAGGAGCCGCCGCCAUCUCCUGUUGGUGUUAAUAUGAAAAUGAAACACGGCACCGAGUGCUGAAUGCACUUGUGCAGAAAGAGAGUGAAAAACAGCGAGUCUGAGUGAGAGACUGUGUCGAGCUGAUGAGUACAGAUCCGCCUGUGGGUAGAUCAGACUUUCCUUAUUGAACUCCACACUGAAGAGAGGAGAUCAUCCAUCUCUGAGAGAGACACAGAGCUAUUACCUGAAGAUGGACCGAUUGUGGUCGUGGAAAAAGUACCGCAGCUCUCUUGGUACCAAUUUAACUCGUCGACGUGUUUCUACUUGGACGUACUUGGAAAUAACAGUGUGGUUAAUACGUUUAAAAAAGAGAAAAUAAAUCAGUGUGUGUUUCUGUUGUUUGGCAGGAUGACCCCAUACUCAAUAUAAAUGACAUCCCAGCAGUCUGAUGUUUUAUUCAGCUUCAGCUCUCCUGCCUUCAGGGCAGUGGGACCCCUCAACAGCCACAUGUACGCCCACCUCACAUGUACAUGCAUGAUUCAUGCUGUGGGAAAAAACUUGAAGAUACGACCAUUAUCAUCGACAAAGGCUAAACAAAUUCAUCCAUACAACCGAGAUGA
rnacentral:lncRNA from 1 species